rnacentral:lncRNA from 1 species
AUGGGGCUCCGAAAAAGGGUUGAGAAUGGAGAAUUGCACUAAGCAAUCACUACGCAUGGCUCCAAACUCGUGGGUGGAGGACGCAUGAACGAAAAUGCAAUUCAUGGGGCUCCGAAAAAAGAUUGAGAAUGGAGAAUUGCACUAAGCAAUCACUAUGCAUGGCUCCAAACUCGUGGUUGGAGGACGCAUGAACGAAAAUGCAAUUCAUGAGGCUCCGAAAAAAGAUUGAGAAUGGAGAAUUGCACUAAGCAAUCACUGCGCAUGUCUCCAAACUCGUGGGUGGAGGUCGCAUGAACGAAAACGCAAUUUAUGGGGCUCUUAAAAAAGAUUGAGAGUGGAGAAUAUCACUAAGCA